rnacentral:rRNA from 1 species
UGGAUCCAGACUUUGAUUAUGGCUCAGGAUGAACGCUAGCGGCAGGCUUAACACAUGCAAGUCGAGGGGCAGCGGAGAGGAAGCUUGCUUUCUCUGCCGGCGACCGGCGCACGGGUGAGUAACACGUAUGCAACCUGCCCUUCUCAGGGGGACAACCCGCCGAAAGGCGGGCUAAUCCCGCGUAUAUGCUCCGGAGGCAUCUCUGGAGCAGGAAAACUUCGGUGGAGAAGGAUGGGCAUGCGGCGCAUUAGUUAGUUGGCGGGGUAACGGCCCACCAAGACGGCGAUGCGUAGGGGUUCUGAGAGGAAGGUCCCCCACACUGGUACUGAGACACGGACCAGACUCCUACGGGAGGCAGCAGUGAGGAAUAUUGGUCAAUGGUCGGGAGACUGAACCAGCCAAGCCGCGUGAAGGAAGACGGCGCUCAGCGUUGUAAACUUCUUUUGUCAGGGAACAAAAGGCGCCACGUGUGACGCUCUGAGUGUACCUGAAGAAAAAGCAUCGGCUAACUCCGUGCCAGCAGCCGCGGUAAUACGGAGGAUGCGAGCGUUAUCCGGAUUUAUUGGGUUUAAAGGGUGCGUAGGCGGCAUGUUAAGUCAGCGGUAAAAGCCCGGGGCUCAACCCCGGCGAGCCGUUGAAACUGGCAGGCUAGAGACGGCGAGAGGUAUGCGGAAUGCGCAGUGUAGCGGUGAAAUGCAUAGAUAUUGCGCAGAACUCCGAUUGCGAAGGCAGCAUACUGGCGCCGGACUGACGCUGAGGCACGAAAGCGUGGGGAUCAAACAGGCUUAGAUACCCUGGUAGUCCACGCAGUAAACGAUGAAUGCUGGCUGUGUGGCCCGAAAGAGGGCUGCGUGGCGUAGCGAAAGCGUUAAGCAUUCCACCUGGGGAGUACGCCGGCAACGGUGCAACUCAAAUGAAUUGACGGA